rnacentral:lncRNA from 1 species
GCCCCAUGUGGGGCUCGAACUCAUGAACCAUGAGAUCACGAUCUGAGCCACCCAGGUGCCCCUCAACGGACUUUUUGAUUUACCACACCAAGCUUUUGUGAUAAUGGGAUAUUUUUACGAAGCUUCUCUUUCUCCACUAUCUCCAUGAUCACUGCAGUCACCUGCUUCCCUCUACCAUGGUAUCCUCUACUAAUACGAAGGGACUACAGGACAAUCCUGGGGAAGACAGGUGGUUCCUGGAGUACACUCAUCUUACUAACACACUUCGAAUUAUGACAUUUUCCCACUGGGCACGUCCCCGGCAAUCGCGAGAAGUACCACCCAUAGAGAACACAUCUAUUCUCACAAUACACUCAGCAGUAUUAAUCACCACUGCUUGAAUGUGUAUUGGUCCCCAAAGUCCCACCUACAAAAUUGCAUCGGUCCAUUGUGCAAUCUGAAAGUUAUUCCCAAAUCCCAUCAAAGUCAGUUUCCGAUGCAAUACCCCCUGGUAGCACAGCGGAUGGUUCCUCGAUAUCCCCAAAAUAUGAACAAAAUUCCUUGGUUGCCGUAAAUUCUCCCAAUACACCUUGAUCAGUGCGUAAUGUCUCUGGUGCUCCUCAGAAGCUGCUGGAUUUUGGACUUUGCCCCAGUUCUGUUUGUUGCUGAAGGGAAUAAAGUUUGACCAGAGACGCCACAUCAAAGCCUUUGGAUCAAUACUAGGCCACACGGCAUUGACCUUACCGAGGGGAGCUAGACUGUGUGCUGUAAAUGUGAGAGGUCACUGAUGAUCUUCAGUCUGGCUCUUAAAACUGUACUGCCAUCCCCUGGACUGAAACCCAGAGAGAAUAUCCCUGAUGAGUAAACUCUCAAUCGCUCCUGUGGGUAACCCCUGAUGGAAUGAUCAGAUACAUAUGGUCCUAUGGCGUGGAUCUUUAAUUGGCCUGUUUAACUGUCCCAUAACCUAAAGAGACUUUACCUUAGCUUGUGUCUAUGCUUCUGUGAGUUUUGUUGCCCAGGAACAGAAUCACUUUCCAGAAACACAAGAGCAUAUGUAACCGGGGAGCAGGAGAAAAAUAUAAUCGUCCCCAGUAGCCUGGUUCUGCAGAUUGCACAAACUGGUCCAUCUGAACCUGGGUGAGUGUCUCAUUAUCUUAUUUCAAUGAUAAAUCCAGGCUCAAGGUACAAGGCCCUUAAUAGAAGUGAUAGCUCCCCAUAUUUCUAUCCCUAGCUGCUUAGCAGGUGACAUAAAUUCAUCCCAGGAAGGGAAGCGUUUUAUUAUAGAUUUAAAGACCACCGAAACAAUCCUCAGUUGCUGUGUACGUGUUCUUUCUCCAUGUUCGCAUCAUCAGCCGAGUUCAACAUGAAGAAGCUUCAUAAAAUCAUUUUAUUUUUAUCAAGAGGAUCUGUCAGGCACAAUUCAGUCUCUUUAAAGGGACUUUGUGUGGCUGAAUCCUACUCUGUGGCCACACCUGGAUCCUUCCGAGGUCUUUUCAGAUGGUUUCAUACUUACAUCCCCACUUGGUGUAUAAAGAUGUUUUUCUGGUAGUAUCCUGGAUUUGGUAUUUCUUUAGAACCCAAUCCUAAAUUGUAGCUCACUUGCUGCCUAGAAAACUGUCAUGUCCUGGAUCUUCUUACUUUAGUAGUUCUUGAUUCAAUUUGUUUCUCUCCCUUCACUUUUUCCUAAAAUCAGCAAGAAGAAAUCAAAUGGCUUCUUCCAUGUUUCGCUUGAAAAUGAUCUUAGCUAUGUCACCCAGCUCAUGAAGCCCAUUGUCUGCUUUCCAUGUAUCAGUAGGACAGUGUUGCUAAGCUUUCUGCCCUAGAUAAUAAGAAGCCUCGUUCUUCCAGUUUCCAAUAAGAUUUUUCUCGCUUUUCUUUAGGAACUCGCUAGCAACCAAGUCAAAGUGAAAAUUCUAUGAAUUCUGGGAGUGACAUCAACUAGAUGACAGAAUAAGGAGCCCUAGACCUGCCUUCCUCACAGAGUUAACAGCGACCAAAUGACAAAAUUCCUCCCAUGAGAAUUCAAAAGCCAGCUAGAAGAUUCCUUCACCCCGCAUGACCAUGAGGACAACUGCAUCAACCAGUAGGGCAUUCCUCACGGUCUCCACUCUGGCUGGUCAGGGUCCCUCCCCACACUUAACACUGGGGUGCAUGGGCUAGAAAACCACUAACUCCCGUAUUCUUUCUGGGGAGGAAAAUCAGAAAAUUGUAUGCCCAAUUUUAGGGGGUUUCUGAGAAGUCACCAGAAUAUGCAGUACCACAGAUAGACACUAGAUGGAGACCAAGGGUGGCGAUUUACUACAGCACCAGCUAGGCCA